GAUGAACGCUGGCGGCGUGCCUAAUACAUGCAAGUCGAGCGAACAGACGAGGAGCUUGCUCCUUUGACGUUAGCGGCGGACGGGUGAGUAACACGUGGGUAACCUACCUAUAAGACUGGGAUAACUUCGGGAAACCGGAGCUAAUACCGGAUAAUAUUUCGAACCGCAUGGUUCGAUAGUGAAAGAUGGCUCUGCUAUCACUUAUAGAUGGACCUGCGCCGUAUUAGCUAGUUGGUAAGGUAACGGCUUACCAAGGCAACGAUACGUAGCCGACCUGAGAGGGGGAUCGGCAACACGAGAACGGGACCGCGGACAGGCCCCCUAGGGGGGGGGAAAGAGGGAAAUCUCCCGCAAGGGGGGAAAGCCGGGGGGAGCAACGCGGCGUGUGUGAGAAAGGUCUUCGGAUCGAAAAACUUUUUUUUGAGGGAAAAAAAACGGUGUAAGUAACUGUGCACGUCUUGACGGUACCUAAUAAAAAAGCCCGGGCAAACUACGUG
rnacentral:rRNA from 1 species